rnacentral:rRNA from 1 species
GACGAACGCUGGCGGCGUGCCUAAUACAUGCAAGUCGAGCGGAGUUGAUGGAGUGCUUGCACUCCUGAUACUUAGCGGCGGACGGGUGAGUAACACGUAGGUAACCUGCCUGUAAGACUGGGAUAACAUUCGGAAACGAAUGCUAAUACCGGAUACGCGAAUUGGUCGCAUGAUCAGUUCGGGAAAGACGGAGCAAUCUGUCACUUACAGAUGGACCUGCGGCGCAUUAGCUAGUUGGUGAGGUAACGGCUCACCAAGGCGACGAUGCGUAGCCGACCUGAGAGGGUGAUCGGCCACACUGGGACUGAGACACGGCCCAGACUCCUACGGGUGGCAG